UAUAACGCAACUAUAUACAACUUUCAGCAACGGAUCUUUUGGCUCUCGCAUCGAUGAAGAACGCAGCGAAAUGCGAUAAGUAAUGUGAAUUGCAGAAUUCAGUGAAUCAUCGAAUCUUUGAACGCACCUUGCGCUCCCUGGUAUUCCGGGGAGCAUGCCUGUUUGAGUGUCAUGGUAUCCUCAUCCUUCAUAACUUUUUGUUAUCGAAGGCAUGGACUUGGAGGUCGUGCUGGUUCCUCGUUGAAUCGGCUCCUCUUAAAUGUAUUAGCGUGAGUGUAACGGAUCGCUUCGGUGUGAUAAUUAUCUGCGCCGUGGUCGUGUAGUAACAUAAGCUUGCGCUUCUAACCGUCCUUAAGCUGGACAACAUAACUUUGACAUCUGACCUCAAAUCAGGUAGGACUACCCGCUGAACUUAAGCAUAUCAAUAAGCGGAGGAAAAGAAACUAACAAGGAUUCCCCUAGUAACUGCGAGUGAACCGGGAAAAGCUCAAAUUUAAAAUCUGGCAGCCUUGGCUGUCCGAGUUGUAAUCUGGAGAAGCGUCUUCCGUGC
rnacentral:rRNA from 1 species